rfam:Xenopus tropicalis strain Nigerian Chr07_contig_2963, whole genome shotgun sequence.
ACCAAUGUCUUACCAGACAAGGUUAGAUCUAGUUACUCUCGUCUAAUACUGUCUGGUAAUGCCGUUGGU